rnacentral:rRNA from 1 species
UACGAAGGGGGCUAGCGUUGCUCGGAAUCACUGGGCGUAAAGCGCACGUAGGCGGCUUUCUAAGUCAGGGGUGAAAUCCUGGAGCUCAACUCCAGAACUGCCUUUGAUACUGGAGAGCUUGAGUCCGGAAGAGGUGAGUGGAACUCCGAGUGUAGAGGUGAAAUUCGUAGAUAUUCGGAAGAACACCAGUGGCGAAGGCGGCUCACUGGUCCGGUACUGACGCUGAUGUGCGAAAGCGUGGGAGCAAACAGG